GGGGCUGAAUAGCGUUUGCUUGGAAACAACUACGGCUGUGACAUUUUUCAUUUUUUGAAAAGUGAUCCAGCAAGAGUCAAUUGCAAGCGGGUAAAGUCCGCGUAGGUGCACUUCCUUCCCUAGUGGGGACACCAGUUAGUCGCUGGUGAGAUACUUUGGCUACCAGCAAUUCUCUUCUUUUUUGAAGAAGAUUGAAAUCGGCCUCUGGCACACAGCUUCUAUAAGUCCAAUACGCUGUAGGUCGCCUCUUCUUUCGAGAGGAGGGGGCUGAAACUCAAUGCGGAUUAUUGGCCC
rnacentral:RNase_P_RNA from 2 species